ACGCACGCUGGCGGCGUGCCUAAUACAUGCAAGUUGAGCGCUGAAGGUUGGUACUUGUACCCACUGGAUGAGCAGCGAACGGGUGAGUAACGCGUGGGGAAUCUGCCUUUGAGCGGGGGACAACAUUUGGAAACGAAUGCUAAUACCGCAUAAAAACUUUAAACACAAGUUUUAAGUUUGAAAGAUGCAAUUGCAUCACUCAAAGAUGAUCCCGCGUUGUAUUAGCUAGUUGGUGAGGUAAAGGCUCACCAAGGCGAUGAUACAUAGCCGACCUGAGAGGGUGAUCGGCCACAUUGGGACUGAGACACGGCCCAAACUCCUACGGGAGGCAGCAGUAGGGAAUCUUCGGCAAUGGACGAAAGUCUGACCGAGCAACGCUGCGUGAGUGAAGAAGGUUUUCGGAUCGUAAAACUCUGUUGGUAGAGAAGAACGUUGGUGAGAGUGGAAAGCUCAUCAAGUGACGGUAACUACCCAGAAAGGGACGGCUAACUACGUG
rnacentral:rRNA from 1 species